CCUGUCCCCAGAGACAUUGCAGGUAUUACUGCUGUGUCACACAUACAUCAGUAGUUGUCAGAGAGGAGAGAAGCCAUGUUUGCACU
rnacentral:snoRNA from 14 species